rnacentral:lncRNA from 1 species
GUCCAACAUUAAAACCAAGUCGCAAACAGGAUGCUGAGAGAGGACUGUUCCCUUAACAAGUAGAUACAAAAAUUAACAAACUGAAUAAUUUACAUGAAUAAUUUUUUUUGCCAAUCUGUCUACUUCAUUGCUUAAAAUUUUUAGCAACGACAACAAUCAACACUCAGUACAUAUAACAUAUCAUUUCUAACAAAUAUUUCGUAGAAUUGACCUUUAAACCUAAUUGGAACACUUCUAUCAUAAAUAAUUCCUGUAGCAUUUCUCCGCUUCAUCCGACUGGAUCAAAUCUUCGUAUUUCAUCCUUUUCAUUUGCACCUUUCUAGUUAAUAAUCACAUCUAAAUACCUAAAAACUCUCACUUAGAAAAAGUGAUCAUCUGGAGUGACCCCAUUAAUAUCCUGUUUCUACUAUUACUAAAAUGACACUGCAGACACCGUGUCUUAGUUCUCAAACCUUCAGAUACCAGAAUUCUAAAUUGUAACUCAUAGUUUUAACCACCUUCCAUUCUCGUCAACUAACACUAUGUUAUCAAUAAAUAACAUGUAUCAGAGAACCUCAUCUUAGAUGUGUGUCAUAUGCUCGUCCAAGGAAUGCCAAAAAAAAAAAAAAAUUGCUUAAGACAAACACUGUGCAAUACAAUGAUCAUAGAAAACGUCCCCCAGUGCAUAGCCCAGUAGUGCAAAAGACAAGAGUGAGGUUAUCUCACGCCCUGCUGGUAGCCGCAUUGUGGGGGUUCGAUUUCUGAGACAUGGAAUUGAAUUCCUUGUAGGCGCAGUGUACAGACAGCUCUUCUUUCUUGGUCUGCUGGGGCACAUUCCGCGAUUUAAUUCCCUCACAAAGCUCUAGGGACAGAACGGUGGAGGCCCUCAAGGUUGGAGUUCAACCUUUUUUAAUAAUCAUAGAAAACCA